GGGAAUGUAGCUUAAUGGUAGAGCCAUUGCCUUUUAAGCAAUUUUAUGUGGGUUCGAUUCCUACCAUUCUCAC
rnacentral:tRNA from 1 species